AGUUCGAUCAUGGCUCAGAUUGAACGCUGGCGGGAUCGCUUUACAUGCAAGUCGAACGGCAGCACCGGACUUCGGUCUGGUGGCGAGUGGCGAACGGGUGAGUAAUGUAUCGGAACGUGCCCUGGUAGCGGGGGAUAACUACGCGAAAGCGUAGCUAAUACCGCAUACGCCCUUCGGGGGAAAGCGGGGACCUUCCGGGCCUCGCACUAUUGGAAGCGGCCGAUAUCGGAUUAGCUAGUUGGUGGGGGUAACGGCUCACCAAGGCGACGAUCCGUAGCUGGUUUGAAGAGGACGACCAGCCACACUGGGACUGAGACCUGGCCCAGACUCCUACGGGAGGCAGCAGUGGGGAAUUUUGGACAAUGGGGGAAACCCUGAUCCAGCCAUCCCGCGUGUGCGAUGAAGGCCUUCGGGUUGUAAGCACUUUUGGCAGGGAAAGAAACGGCACGGGAUAAUACCUGAUACAACUGACGUACCUACGAAUAAGCACCGGCUAACUACGUGCCAGCAGCCGCGGUAUUGCGUAGAAAGUGCAAGCGUUAAUCGGAAUUACUGGGCAAUAAAGCGUGCGCAGGCGGUUCCGGAAAGAAAGAUGUGAAAUCCCAGAGCUUAACUUUGGAACUGCAUUUUUAACUACCGAGCUAGAGUGUGUCAGAGGGAGGUGGAAUUCCGCGAUGUAGCAGUGAAAUGCGUAGAUAUGCGGAGGAACACCGAUGGCGAAGGCAGCCUCCUGGGAUAACACUGACGCUCAUGCACACGAAAGCGUGGGGAGCAAACAGGAUUAGAUGCCCUGGUAGUCCGCGCCUAAACGAUGUCAGCUAGCUGUUGGGGCCUUCGGGCCUUGGUAGCGCAACUAACGCGUGAAGUUGACCGCCUGGGGAAGUACGGUCGCAAGAUUAAAAAACUCAAAGGAAUUGACGGGGGCCCGCACAAGCGGUGGGCAUGUGGUUUAAUUCGAAGCAACGCGCAGAACCUUACCAGCUCUUGACAUUCGGGGUUUGGGCAGUGGGGCAUUGUGUCCUUUGAUUCAGGCUGGCCCCAGAACAGGUGCUGCAUGGCUGUCGUCAGCUCGUGUCGUGAGAUGUUGGGUUGGAGUCCCGCAACGAGCGCAACCCUCGCCCUUAGUUGCCAGCAUUUGGUUGCGGGCACUCUAAGGGACUGCCAGUGAGCAAAAGCCGAGAGGAAGGUGGGGAUGACGUCAAGUCCUCAUGGCCCUUACGGGCUGCGGGCUACACGUGCUGACGGUGGUGACGGUGGGCAGCGAGACAGCGAUGUCGAGCCCUCAAUCUCAAAGCCAUCUCAGUUCGGUUGCGCUCUGACUCGGAGUGCAUGGAGGAGUUGGAAUCGCUAGUAAUCGCAGAUCAGCAUGCUGCCAGGUGAAUACGUUCCCGGGCCUUGUACACCU
rnacentral:rRNA from 1 species